rnacentral:rRNA from 1 species
GACGAACGCUGGCGGCGCGCCUAACACAUGCAAGUCGAACGGAGUCACGAGGAGCUUGCUUUUCUUGACUUAGUGGCGAACGGGUGAGUAACGCGUGAGUAACCUGCCCUGGAGUGGGGACAACAGUUGGAAACGACUGCUAAUACCGCAUAAGCCCACGGAUCCGCAUGGAUCUGCGGGAAAAGGAUUUAUUCGCUUCAGGAUGGACUCGCGUCCAAUUAGCUAGUUGGUGAGGUAACGGCCCACCAAGGCGACGAUUGGUAGCCGGACUGAGAGGUUGAACGGCCACAUUGGGACUGAGACACGGCCCAGACUCCUACGGGAGGCAGCAGUGGGGGAUAUUGCACAAUGGGGGAAACCCUGAUGCAGCGACGCCGCGUGGAGGAAGAAGGUUUUCGGAUUGUAAACUCCUGUCGUUAGGGACGAUAAUGACGGUACCUAACAAGAAAGCACCGGCUAACUACGUG